UUAUUUUUGCAAAUACGUUCACUUUAUUUGUAUUUUUUACCACAAAAUAAUGAAAUAUGCAGCAUCCCUUAAUUUUUACAUUAAAAAUAGUUAUUACAAUCAAUGAUAUGAGCAUUAUAUGGAUACAAGUAUGAAGUUGCAGUGCAAAGGCUUACAAAAUCUUGAGCAAAAUCAAAUAUAUUACUUUAAAAUUCUUUACCCUAAAUUACAGAGGUGCAAAUGAUCCCUUUGGGCCUCAACCAAUAUCCACAUAAAAUUAGUUCAAACAUAUUUCAUUUAGAUCUAAUAAAACUAUUCAAAAUAAAAAAUCCACCUUGUAUAAACUCACCUUUCCAUGUUAAGACUCCUCCUUACCUGUCCACAAAUAAAAUAUAGGUGAUCAACUAAAUCCUCCGGUCUUUUUACUGACCCUUAUUCCAAUCACAGAGGAGGCUUUACCUCUUCUCUGUGUCUGGUCAGGUCUGGUCAGGUUUGGUCUGGUCAUUAUGCUGGUCAGGUCAGGUCUGGUCAGGUAUGGUCAUUAUGCUGGUCAGGUCAGGUCAGGUCAGGUCAGGUCUGGUCAGGUCUGGUCAGGUCAGGUCUGGUCAGGUCAGGUCAGGUCUGGUCAGGUCUGGUCAGGUCAGGUCUGGUCAGGUCAGGUCAGGUCAGGUCAGGUCUGGUCAGGUCAGGUCAGGUCAGGUCUGGUCAGGACAUUAUGUUGGUCAGGUCUGGUCAGGACAUUAUGCUGGUCAGGUCUGGUCAGGACAUCAUGCUGGUCUGGUCUGGACAUUAUGCUGGUCAGGUCUGGUCAGGUCUGGUCAGGACAUUAUGCUGGUCGGGUCAGGACAUUAUGCUGGCCAGGUCUGGUCAGGACAUUAUGCUGGUCGGGUCAGGACAUUAUGCUGGCCAGGUCUGGUCAGGACAUUAUGCUGGUCAGGUCUGGUCUGGUCAGGUCAGGUCUGGUCAGGACAUUAUGCUGGUCAGGUCUGGUCAGGUCAGGUCAGGUCUGGUCAGGACAUUAUGCUGGUCAGGUCAGGUCUGGUCUGGUCAGGUCUGGUCAGGUCAGGUCUGGUCAGGUUUGGUCAGGACAUUAUGUUGGUCAGGUCUGGUCAGGACAUUAUGCUGGUCAGGUCUGGUCUGGUCAGGUCAGGUCUGGUCAGGUCUGGCCAAGUCUGGUCUGGUCAGGACAUUAUGCUGGUCAGGUCUGGUCAGGACAUUAUGCUGGUCUCGUCUGGACAUUAUGCUGGUCAGGUCUGGUCUGGUCAGGUCAGGUCUGGUCACAACAUUAUGCUGGUCAGGUCAGGUCAGGUCUGGUCAGGUCUGGUCAGGACAUUAUGCUGGUCAGGUCUGGUCUGGUCAGGUCAGGUCAGGUCAGGUCAGGUCAGGUCAGGUCAGGUCAGGACAUUAUGCUGGUCUGGUCAGGGCAGGUCUGGUUAGGUCUGGACAGGUCAGGUCAGGUCAGGACAUUAUGCAGGUCUGGUCAGUUCUGGUCAGGUCUGGUCAGGUCUGGUCAGGACAUUGAUGCUUGAUCCUUUCACUGCAUUGCCAUUGUAGCCUCAGCAUC
ensembl:lncRNA